UGUCUUGUAAUUGGAAUGAUGGGAAUUUAAACCUCUUCCAGAGUAUCAAUUGGAGGGCAAGUCUGGUGCCAGCAGCCGCGGUAAUUCCAGCUCCAAUAGCGUAUAUUAAAAUUGUUGCAGUUAAAAAGCUCGUAGUUGAAUUUCUGCUGCAUUGCUUUUGCUCCUUUACGAGUCUUUGCAUUGUGGCUUAUUUCGGACUUUGUUUUACAAUGUCCGGAUGUUUACUUUGAGAAAAUUAGAGUGCUCAAAGCAGGCUUUCGCCUUGAAUAGUUUAGCAUGGAAUAAUAAAGUAGGACUUUGGUUCUAUUUUGUUGGUUUUAGGUACCAAAGUAAUGGUUAAUAGGAACAGUUGGGGGCAUUCGUAUUUAACUGUCAGAGGUGAAAUUCUUAGAUUUGUUAAAGACGAACUACUGCGAAAGCAUUUGCCAAGGAUGUUUUCAUUAAUCAAGAACGAAAGUUAGGGGAUCGAAGACGAUCAGAUACCGUCGUAGUCCUAA
rnacentral:rRNA from 1 species